AUGCUAUGACGAUUCGGUUACACGACGACGUCAAUCACUGACAAAAAGACUCGUCGUCCCCAAUUCGUUAGGGGGCGGAGUCGUCGGUGGAAUGGGCGAGCGUCUAAUCUUCUCUCUGAGCAUU
rnacentral:snoRNA from 1 species